GACACUUAACUAGUUAUUUUAUAAUCAUAAAUCCAACAUCAAAGGAGACAUACAUUGCUUAUAUUUUUGCUGGCUCUCUUUCUUUAUUGACGCUCAUGCUUUUAUUUGUGAAUUUGAUUUUUUUGCAGGAAGAAAGCUUGGAGGAUCUAUGAGGAUUACAUUAACUUGUGCUAUAUAUUCUAAACUUUUGAAGCUAAGCCAGGUUACAAUAAGUAGUGUCACUAUGGGACAUGUGAUUAACAUUGCUUCAAAUGAUGUUCACAGAUUUGAUGAGGGCAUAGUGUAUUUUGCUUUCUUUGUUGCAUGUCCACUUCAUGUUGGAGCAGUGACUUAUUUACUCUAUGGAAGACUCCAAUGGGCAACAUUUAUACUACUAGGACUGCUACUAUCACUAAUCCAACUUCUAAUUACUUUUACUCAAGGCUAAGGUUUAAAGCAGCUAGAGUAACUGAUAAUAGAGUUAAAGUGAUGAAUGAAGUCAUCAGUGGAAUUAGAGUCAUUAAAAUGUACGGCUGGGAAUAUGCUUUCAGUAGACUAAUAGCAAGAAUAAGAAGUUUUGAAGUUGAUUGAAAGUACCACCGACAAUACGUUAGCAUCUAUUGAACCAAAGCAAGCCUCAGUAUUAUAUUGAUGGACUUGAUCCUGAUUGACAACCUCUUUAUCCUUUCCUCUCUCCCUCUCCUUUUAUACUCUUCACUUAUUUUCUAUCUUUUUAUCUUUUUUGUUUUAUUAUGCACUGUACAUUCCAUUGGAAGGGUCCAAGAAUUGUACAAGAUAUACUUGCAAUACAAAUCAUAUGUAGAACAAAGGUUUAAGAUACUGUAUGAGAUGGGGCAGUUAGAACAAAAGAGGUAAUUGUAUU